GGAUGCCCAGUUAACUUUCAAUUUCAGGUAAAUAACAAAAGAUUUUUUAGUGUAAGUAUGUCCCAUGCAAUAUUUGGGACAUACUUAUACUAAAAAAAAUAUUCAUUGGCAUCUGAAAUUCGAAUUUCAUGGGAUAUC
rnacentral:miRNA from 1 species